GGCUUAUUGAAUAUAAUUUUAGGUCCAACCUGCCCAAUGACAAAGUUAAAUGGCCGCAGUAAUUUGACUGUGCAAAGGUAGCAUAAUCAGUAGUUUUUUAAUUGAAAGCUUGUAUGAAAGGUUAGAUGAGAAAAUAGCUGUCUCUGUCAAAAUUUAUCAGAAAUUUAUUUUUAAGUGAAAAAGCUUAAAUAUUUAUAGAAGACGAGAAGACCCUAUAGAGUUUUAUAAUUAUUUGAAUAAAUCUAUAUUUUAGUAUUAUGGGGUUUAUUUAGGUAAUUAUUUGAUUGGGGCGAUUGAAAAAUUAGGUAAACUUUUUCUUAUAAAAACAUUGAUUUAUGAAUUUUUGAUCCUUUAUUUAAGAUUAAAAGAUAAAAUUACCUUAGGGAUAACAGCGUAAUUUUUUUUGAAAGUUCUAAUUGGAAAAAAAGUUUGCGACCUCGAUGUUGGAUUAAAGUAAAUUAUUGGUGUAGAGGCUAAUAAAUAAGGUCUGUUCGACCUUUUGAGCUUUACAUGAUCUGAGUUUAAACCGGUGUAAG
rnacentral:rRNA from 1 species